CAUCCAUUAAUUAAAUUUGAUCUAACAGCCAAGAUGAAAUCAUCUCUUCUUACAUUUUUUAAACCUAAAAAAAAACCAGUCCCUCAAUUUUUUACAAAGGACAGCCGCACACCUCUCUGCCUUCGCUGUACUCGCUCUCUUCCUUUCUUAGAAAUUGAACUUCCACCGCUGCCUCGUCACCUGCCGGCGAAGCCCAACGCUCACCGCCGCCUCCAUCUCCCCCGGUUCGCUCCUCUCUCACGUUGAUGAGCCUCGACGGACGUGACUACCGGCAGGCUGCCUGUCAAACCCCAACUGUGCCAUCGCCGCCAUCAGUAUCGGUGAACCAGCUGAGCCAUCACCGCCGAACCAACCCCCUCUCUCAUCGCAGCUGCUCAACCAUGCAUCCACCGCCCCGCCAUCUCUUCCACUCAUUUUCGUCUCUUAUACGACCAAAUUGCAACAAAACCCUUUUGCCGCCUCGCCGUUGCUUGCUCCGGCCAAGUGUUGUCGGAAAAUUGAUUAAGAACCCAUCCCAGUACUAUGGUGAUGUACUUAGUGUUUUUUUUUUGGGGGGGCGGGGGGUUAUUGCAGAUUGGAAGUGUUUGUGUAUUGGCUAUGCAGAGUGUGUUUACAAAGAAAGAGUAGAUUGAAGAAAAAGGGUCAUAGUUUUGAUCAAUGGGUUGGAAGAGAUCUGCAAUAUGGUGCUUGAAUUCGAAGAUCUUGGAAAGGAAUGCUAAUUUCUUGUUUUGGGCAAUGCUGGACCAGUUAUUGAGCUAAGUCAAUAUGUUGUUAAAUAUAUAUAGUGACUUGAAAUGUGAAUGAGCUAUUUGAACAUGGUUUGAUGGUUUGAAUGUAGUGACUUGAGAUGUGAAUAAGUUAUUUAAAAAUUUUCAAGUGUAGUGGCUUGAAAAUGAUUAAGUGUAGUUACUUGAAAUUGCAAACUUGUGACUUGAAAAUUUCAAAUUUGUGACUCGAAAAUGGUUAAGUGUAGUUACUUGAAAUUGUGAACUAGUGAUUUGAAAAAUAGUUAAGUGUAGUUACUUGAAAUGUGAAUUAAUUAUUUGAAAGUGGUUAAGUACAGUGACUUGUAAAUGAUUAAGUAUAGCUAUUUGAAAUGUGAAGUAGUUACUUGGAAAUGUUAAGUAUAGUCAUUUGAAAUGUUAAUUAAUUAUUUGAAAAUAGUUAAGUAUAGUGACUUACAAUGUGAAUUAGUUAUUUGAAAAUGGUUAAGUAUAAUGACUUGAAAUGUCUACUAGUUAUUUAAAAAUGGUUAAGUGUAGUGACUUGAAAUGUGUACUAGUGACUUAAAAAUGGUUAAGUGUAAUUACUUCAAAAUGGUUAAGUAUAGUGAAUUGAAAUGUCAAUUAACUAUUUGAAAAUGGUUUGAGUGUAGUGACUUGAAAUGUCUACUAGUGAAUAAGUUAUUUGAAAAUUAUUGUGUAGUGACUUGAAAAGGAUUAAGUGUAGUUACUUGAAAUUGCUAACUUGUGAUUGAUCUAUUUAUAUUUAUCAUGAUAUUUUUUAGUUGUACGCAGAUAUAAAUAUAAUAAGGAUUGAAAGUUUAUUUGACUGAUUUUUAUACUUUGCAUUUUUAUGUAGCCAAGUGAUGCGGCUAGUGGACCCAUUUUGCGAUACAACAAGACCACGUGAUGAUAGUGAUCCUAAUGACAGUUGUUGAUUUUGUUGUAAAUUGUCUUGAAUAUUCAAUUAUGAUGAUGUAAUUGUGUGGUUGGAGCGAAUCUUAGAAUAUUGAAGGUUGUGUUU